rnacentral:lncRNA from 1 species
UUUAUACUUUUGCCAUCGCCCUUCCUCCCAGAGAGGUUUCAUCCUCUUGGCUUGUUUGAUUAUGGCGCAUGUUUCACAGUCAUGAAUAACUUGUGCAAUAGCAUCCAUAGUUAAGUCCACCCCUCGGUCUCUAGCCCACUUAUAUGUUGCAUCUCUCCCUUGAUGGCCCGAGGUCUCAUGGGCCCACCGAGCUAGAAAUAAUUCACCCUUGUUCUGCCAGUCCAAGUCUAUUUGAGCCACCUCAAUUUUGGCAGCCUGAUCUACCUGAUGGUUAUUUUUCUGUUCUUCCGUAGCCCGACUCUUGGGCACAUGAGCAUCUACAUGGCACACCUUUACCACCAUAUUCUUUAUUCGG